rnacentral:rRNA from 1 species
UGACAGUACUCCUACGGGGAGGCAGCAGUGGGGGAAUAUUGCACAAUGGGCGCAAGCCUGAUGCAGCCAUGCCGCGUGUGUGAAGAAGGACCUUCGGGUUGUAAAGCACUUUCAGUCGUGAGGAAGGUGGUAGUGUUAAUAGCACUAUCAUUUGACGUUAGCGACAGAAGAAGCACCGGCUAACUCCGUGCCAGCAGCCGCGGUAAUACGGAGGGUGCGAGCGUUAAUCGGAAUUACUGGGCGUAAAGCGCAUGCAGGUGGUUUGUUAAGUCAGAUGUGAAAGACCCGGGGCUCAACCUCGGAAUAGCAUUUGAAACUAGGCAGACUAGAGUACUGUAGAGGGGGGUAGGAAUUUCAGGUGUAGCGGUGAAAUAGCGUAGAGAUCUGAAGGAAUACCGGUGGCGAAGGCGGCCCCCUCGGACAGAUACUGACACUCAGAUGCGAAAGCGUGGGGAGCAAACAGGAUUAGAUACCCCUGGUAG